CAUGCGCAAAUGACCAGGGCGAACGGGGACUUUGCUUUAAUGAACCGGUUCAUCUAAACGAAUCAUUCGAUCAUGAAUCGAACAUCACAGUGAUUCACACACAAUAAAGAGAGAAGCCGAUGUACUGUAGGACUUCUCUUCACAGUGCAUUAUUGAUCUAAAAGCAGCUGAAUAAAACAUGGGAACAUGUCUAUUGUCAGCGAAUGCACAGAGAAUAGCUCGAGAUCUGGGUUGAGCAGAGAGAACGAGAGAUCAUCUCAGCUAUUUGCUGUGAGAGCUGAAUGAGCAGAUGACUGCUUGUACAGAUUUGUCAGGCGUGUGUUGGGCUGCUCCGUGGAGACGUGAGGUUGAAACAUCUCUGACAUGUGUGUCCGACAGCGAGCUGUUCCCCGCUCAAGCACACCACUGCCCAGCUUCCCUCAUCUCAUAUACAUUAUGGAGCAGAGCCACAGACAACACCUGCUGUACAACACAAGAAGUGUGUGCGUGUUGGUGUGUGAAGCCCUGAAUGCCUUCGAGCGGCACCCGGUUUCCUAAAGAUCCGGAAGAGAGCGAGUGACCUGAUGCUGUUCAUUAAUAAUUCACUGCAGGCGGCCUCUGCCUCUCACACGGCUCUGUUCGCAUUACAGCUCACAGCCAGAGCUCAAGGUCAUUGUGUGUUGGUCCCACUGAGGGUGUGGAGAUUUUGGCAGAGCCUUCAGCCUGGGGCGACCUUCAAUCUCACAGCCAUUGAGUAAAGAACAUGACUUUCAUGCAAGAGUGAAGCUUCACCAGAAUCAUAACCCACACCAUUGAAAAAAGGAGUGCGAAUAAAAGACCGACAGAGAGAGAAAGAGUCCUGACCUAAAGAGAUGCACUUGGCAAGAGAAGCUGUGUAUGGUGUAUAGAGAUGGAUGUAGAGCAUCAGUCAACCGAGAUGGUUCAUCCAGUGGUUGAGUUUAAGAUCUUGUAAGCCCUCAUGUCAACGGCUCUGUGUUAACACUUCUAGAAUAUAUCUCGACAGAUCAAACCCUCGCUGCCUAUGGCUCUGCUUAUAGUAUGCAGGAGGAUUUCGGGCUACAGCGCUCGAGUUUCCCCGGCUUAACGGGUAACCUUGACUUGGCCCAGUUUCAGGUUAGUCUGAGGAGAAACUGUCAGGAGAAUCUUUGUCUCUUUAGGCUGAAUUACUAAUGUGUGAAUAAUAUGGAAUUACUGUGACUUCCCGACUGUAUCAGAUUUAAAAGAUUUGUCAGUAAAAAUGCAUUUAUAAUGAUACAUGAGCAACAUUAUUUACUAAUGGAACUUAGUAAAUAAAUAGUUUAUCCAAGAAAAAAAUUCUCUCAGUUCUUUGUUUUCAACCUGUAUGAUUUUUUGUACCUUCAUAACGAUAAAUAAAAGUUACAAAAGAAAAAGUUUUCUGCACAUAUGAUACGAUAGCUUUG